ensembl:snRNA U6 U6 spliceosomal RNA
UUGCUUUGGCAGCACACAUACUAAACUGGAACAAGUGAGUGUUAGCAUGGCCCCUGCACAAUGACAUGCAAAUUCAUGAAAUGUUCCAUAUUUUU